GAGUAAAACAAACAAAUAAAUCAAAACUUUCAACAACGGAUCUCUUGGUUCUGGCAUCGAUGAAGAACGCAGCAAAAUGCGAUAAGUAAUGUGAAUUGCAGAAUUCAGUGAAUCAUCGAAUCUUUGAACGCACAUUGCGCCCGCCAGUAUUCUGGCGGGCAUGCCUGUUCGA
rnacentral:rRNA from 1 species